rnacentral:misc_RNA from 1 species
GGCAGAGAUUCUAUCUCGAAGGUUGGCUCGACUUGCUUCGUUAGCUGUUGUUCCCCCAUUUAGAGAACUUGCAUAUCAAUAUUUCCCUUCAGAACUUCAACUAUCUGUCUCAUUUCUGGUCGAUCUUGUGGAUUAUCACGUAAACAGGCUAAGGCACAAGCAAUCAUUCGAUUCAUUUCAUUUUUGUUAUAUGCCUUUAACCUCUUGUCAACAAAAUC